AAGUCGUAACAAGGUUUCCGUAGGUGAACCUGCGGAAGGAUCAUUAUCUAGAGUUGUAGGCUUUGCCUGCUAUCUCUUACCCAUGUCUUUUAAGUACCUUCGUUUCCUCGGCGGGUUCGCCCGCCGAUUGGACAAUUUAAACCCUUUGCAGUUGCAAUCAGCGUCUGAAAAAACAUAAUAGUUACAACUUUCAACAACGGAUCUCUUGGUUCUG
rnacentral:misc_RNA from 1 species